rnacentral:rRNA from 1 species
GAUGAACGCUAGCGGGAGGCUUAACACAUGCAAGUCGAGGGGUAAAUGGUAGCAAUACUAUGAGACCGGCGGACGGGUGCGUAACGCGUAUGCAACAUACCUUGUGCAGGGGGAUAGCCCGUGGAAACGCGGAUUAAUAUUCCAUAGUCCAGCUGUAUCGCAUGGUAUAGUUGGUAAAGAUUUAUCGGCACAAGUUUGGCAUGCGUCUGAUUAGCUUGUUGGUAGGGUAACGGCCUACCAAGGCUACGAUCAGUAGGGGUUCUGAGAGGAUUAACCCCCACACUGGUACUGAGACACGGACCAGACUCCUACGGGAGGCAGCAGUGAGGAAUAUUGGUCAAUGGGCGAGAGCCUGAACCAGCCAAGUCGCGUGAAGGAAGAAGGUUCUAUGGAUUGUAAACUUCUUUUGCAGGGGAAUAAAGGACGGUACGUGUACUGUUUUGUAUGUACCUUGCGAAUAAGGAUCGGCUAACUCCGUGCCAGCAGCCGCGGUAAAACGUCUA